GAGACAGCAGUAGCCGCGGUAAUACGUAGGGUGCAAGCGUUAAUCGGAAUUACUGGGCGUAAAGCGUGCGCAGGCGGUGUUGUAAGACUGAUGUGAAAUCCCCGGGCUCAACCUGGGAACUGCAUUGGUGACUGCAACGCUGGAGUGCGGCAGAGGGGGAUGGAAUUCCGCGUGUAGCAGUGAAAUGCGUAGAUAUGCGGAGGAACACCGAUGGCGAAGGCAAUCCCCUGGGCCUGCACUGACGCUCAUGCACGAAAGCGUGGGGAGCAAACAGGAUUAGAUACCCCCGUAGUCCCUGUCUCUUAUAC
rnacentral:rRNA from 1 species